GGAGGGCUACGGUAAUUGGUAACCGAGCGGUCUUGAAAACCGCCGUCCGAAAGGACUUGGGGGUUCGAGUCCCCCGCCCUCCG
rnacentral:tRNA from 1 species